CGGAAACAUGGAUGGUUCGAUA
rnacentral:siRNA from 1 species